CGCCCUUGAGUUUGAUCAUGGCUCAGGAUGAACGCUAGCGGCAGGCCUAAUACACUGCAAGUCGGACGGGAUUGAGGAGCUUGCUCUUCAUGAGACUGGCGCACGGGUGCGUAACACGUAUGUAACCUACCUUUGUCAGGGGGAUAGCCUCUCGAAAGAGAGAUUAAGCCCGCAUAAAAUCACAGUACAGCAUUGUACAAUGAUCAAAUAUUUAUAGGACAAAGAUGGGCAUGCGGAACAUUAGCUAGUUGGUAAGGUAACGGCUUACCAAGGCAACGAUGUUUAGGGGAUCUGAGAGGAUGACCCCCCACACUGGUACUGAGACACGGACCAGACUCCUACGGGAGGCAGCAGUAAGGAAUAUUGGUCAAUGGACGGAAGUCUGAACCAGCCUUUUUUUUUUGCAGGAAGACGGCCCUACGGGUUGUAAACUGCUUUUGUACCGGAAUAAACCUGAUUACGUGUAAUCAGCUGAAUGUACGGUAAGAAUAAGGAUCGGCUAACUCCGUGCCAGCAGCCGCGGUAC
rnacentral:rRNA from 1 species